CCUGUACAAACAGGAAGCAGGAAGUACAUCAGCCAUGUGGUAACACUCAAAUGAUUACUGGACAAGAGUGAAAGAACACAUUAAAUCAAUUAUCUUUAAUAUGCACGGAUAAAGACAAAACAAUGAAGACUCUAUUACUGAUCUUAUCUGCCCUCGGCUUGGCGGCGCGCCAUCCACUGCAGGCUGUGUGCAUUGGCUGGAACACAUGCACUCCAAAACUCACACACUGACAGCCUGCAAGCGCCGUAAAAUUCCAGGCAGAGUCAAGCCAGGGCCUGACAUGCCUGAAAUCAAGAAAUGAUUUCCGCAUGAAUAAACUGCAGCUUCUGAAACAGGUUCGGGCGAGCUACGUCAAUCGUGUGCACGAGGAAAGAUGCAAUCGCCAGCGGAAGUGGAUAUUUCAUCACAACAUCCGGUUUCGGUG